UGAUGUUGGUGCAAGGUUCUCAAGCUGCUCCACCAAUCGACCCAUCUAUGUCAGGAGGGAAGUGAUGUUGGACCAUUGUGAAACACCUAGAUCCCUGAUCUUUGAUUGGAUCUAAGCCACUUCAGUCUCAGCCUAGCAGCCUCCCGAGCAAGAUCAGAUAGAUCCACAAGCUCAUCCCUCCUCACCGGUUGCUCUAGGGUCACC
rnacentral:lncRNA from 1 species